GACAAAAUGGCUGAAAAGUUUAGGCAGUAAAUUGUAAAUUUAUGUAUGGUUAUAACCUUUUGUUA
rnacentral:tRNA from 1 species